UUUUCAAUUUCGAUCCUAAACGUGCCAUGAAAGGUUUUUCCCUUAGAAAGUUUCGAUUCGGACUUAACAACAACGUGUUUGUCUGCAAUAAUGUAAUCCAAGUAUACAAGAAUUCCGAAAACUGUGAUUUUUCAAGCAGAGAAGCGACGACACGUAAAUGACACGGCGCUCUGCCUCAAAACUUGACGAAACUUGAAGAAAAUAAAAGGCAUAAAAGACGACAAAAUAUGGCAGAAAAACUGAAAGCUUUGGAUGAGGAAGGGAAUUGUUGGGAAAGAAGGUGAAUUGUUAAUCAACAUUCAAUAUUUCUUUGUGCUUAUAGUUGUGGGUUUAUUUGUAGUGGCACAUUUUUUUUCAAUUGAAAAAAACAUUCAUUAAAGUUUAUUGUGCCGGU